CAAAAAGAUAGUACUCCAAGCUACCUCUUCUAAUUCGGCCUUCCUAGUAGGAUUUAUUUCUUGAGGCCAAGUAUCAUCUAGGGCCCUAACACAUCUCAUUUGCAUUAGGAUAUCUUUCAUCUUUUGACUCUACAUAUUGAAAUCAAUUUUUCCAUCAAAUUGUACAACUUCAAAUUUAACAGUAGCCAUUUUAUUAUGCCACACAGAAUGCACAAGUACAAGUCAAGAUGAUCACAACACAGCAUACACUAGACACAUAACAGUGUCAACAAGGAUUCACAGUAAUGUUCAAGAAGACACAAUACAAGCAAGUUUGAAUCACACAUAUAAUAUGCAGAUCAAAUCAAGGACACAAUAAUAAAGGCAAGAAAUUUUAGGUUUCUGAAAUUUCUCCUUCAAGAUUCCCCAGAUACACUCUCAAAUUGGGCUUUUCUCAAAUUCCCAAGACCUCGCAAGAGCCUUUGGACAAAAACUUGACACCAAUAGGUAGUUGAUGUAUGGUUAAUCAAGGGAAAAAUGACGAAACACACAAGUUUCGAAAGUAAACUUUAAAAAAUUAAAAGGUCUCACCAAAUGAGUAUGAAAUACUCAAGGUCCUUCAAUAUUGCUCAAUAGCAGUUCCAAAAAUUUUCAGAUCUGCAGCAGAUCAACUCCCUCCUUCAAAGAUCCAGGUAUCUUGCCCCAGUUCAACGCUCUGAUACCACUAAAAGAGGGCAAAAAACCCACACAAUAAGUUGCAAGAUACAAUCGAUCAAAAAUAACAGAAAUUAAAUUUGCUAAAAAUAAAGAACACAACAAGAUUUUUUUGGCUAAAGUCCCAGAAGUUCAGUGACAAAGCACCUAAUCCCCUGUUGAGCAUCCAAUCGAGAGUGGAUAUUGCUCGGUUGCAGUAAAGCCCCAAAAAUAGGCAAUCGAAGAUUAUAGAGUUCAACCACUACAAGAAUACACAGAAAAGAGACUUGUAUCUUUAAAAGGAACCAUAGAUUUGCUUCAAAUCCACUACAAAUCAACAUACCACAUUCCUAACCUCAAAACAUGAGGACUCUAAAUUUCUCUCAAGAAUAUACAAGUAUUCAGUGGCUAAAUCAUCAAAAAUACUAAUUGAAUGAGAAGAUCGAUUACAAGAAAGGGAAUCAGAAAACCCUAGCCAGAGAGCACAGAAGAACUCUCUCAAACCCUCACAUGAAAAGUCAAACAAAUGAACAAUCUCACAGCCAAAUGAAGCGUCAAGAUUCAUUUAUAUCACCAGAACAUGCAACUCUUCAUCUAACGGUAGGAAUAGUGCCAGUUGCUAUCAUUUGGCAGAAUGCCACUUAUAAAGUCGCGUUUCCAUAAUGCGUUUUAUAGGCUAAAAAUAUGGGAGCAUCAAUACCACAGUUCGAGUCACAACAUCAUUUGUUUGCAUUGUCAUUAUGUGUUUGAAUUCAAGAAGCUUAAAUACUUUUUUGGCUAAGCUUAUCUUUUCCUGGUUUAGUUCGAAAGUAUUGCCAUUAAAUGUUUGAAUUCAAGAAAUAAUCCUAGCUACUGUUGGCAUGAACAUUAUUUUGUGGUGCAAGAAUCUUUCUAUUUAUGUUGCUAUUUGAAGUACCAGAGUGGUUGUAAGCUUAAAAAUUCAGUUCUUUAAAAUAGGGAUUUGGGGAGAAAAUAGUAAAUUCCACAACUAUAAAUUUCUUCUUGGCAUAUAGCAACUGUAAUUAGAGAAGAAGUUGGGCUUACCUUAGACAAGGCUGACAAUUAAAUAUUGGGCAUUAUUGCAAAGGUGAUGGCAACCAUGGAUGCUACUACAAUUGUUGAUGAUAGAAGCACUAGGGAAGCUGUAAAUAAGCGAGUUGCACAUAUAAGAAACCUUAUGGAAGUGUGUCUAUUUCCCCUUGAACCUGCAUUAUUGUAUUAAGAAGUUUACUGUUCCUGUCCCUUACCUAUAAUUGGUAAAGUGGACUGACGAUCAAGACUAUGAGAAGGAAAAACUGAAUGAAAGAAUUGUAAGGUUGAAAUAUGAAGAAUAAAUAAAAUCUUGUUAUAUACGAAAACAAAGACAAGUAUGAAAUUUAUGUUACUCGUAUCUAAAUAAAUUGAAUUUUAAGAUGAAACUCCAAAAUUCUAUAAUGUAUAAUUUGAGGUUUACUGUAAAAAGUAAGAGGACAACGAAGAUCAG
rnacentral:lncRNA from 1 species